UUUAUGGAGAGUUUGAUCCUGGCUCAGGAUGAACGCUGGCGGCGUGCCUAAUACAUGCAAGUCGAGCGAACGGACGAGAAGCUUGCUUCUCUGAUGUUAGCGGCGGACGGGUGAGUAACACGUGGAUAACCUACCUAUAAGACUGGGAUAACUUCGGGAAACCGGAGCUAAUACCGGAUAAUAUUUUGAACCGCAUGGUUCAAAAGUGAAAGACGGUCUUGCUGUCACUUAUAGAUGGAUCCGCGCUGCAUUAGCUAGUUGGUAAGGUAACGGCUUACCAAGGCAACGAUGCAUAGCCGACCUGAGAGGGUGAUCGGCCACACUGGAACUGAGACACGGUCCAGACUCCUACGGGAGGCAGCAGUAGGGAAUCUUCCGCAAUGGGCGAAAGCCUGACGGAGCAACGCCGCGUGAGUGAUGAAGGUCUUCGGAUCGUAAAACUCUGUUAUUAGGGAAGAACAUAUGUGUAAGUAACUGUGCACAUCUUGACGGUACCUAAUCAGAAAGCCACGGCUAACUACGUGCCAGCAGCCGCGGUAAUACGUAGGUGGCAAGCGUUAUCCGGAAUUAUUGGGCGUAAAGCGCGCGUAGGCGGUUUUUUAAGUCUGAUGUGAAAGCCCACGGCUCAACCGUGGAGGGUCAUUGGAAACUGGAAAACUUGAGUGCAGAAGAGGAAAGUGGAAUUCCAUGUGUAGCGGUGAAAUGCGCAGAGAUAUGGAGGAACACCAGUGGCGAAGGCGACUUUCUGGUCUGUAACUGACGCUGAUGUGCGAAAGCGUGGGGAUCAAACAGGAUUAGAUACCCUGGUAGUCCACGCCGUAAACGAUGAGUGCUAAGUGUUAGGGGGUUUCCGCCCCUUAGUGCUGCAGCUAACGCAUUAAGCACUCCGCCUGGGGAGUACGACCGCAAGGUUGAAACUCAAAGGAAUUGACGGGGACCCGCACAAGCGGUGGAGCAUGUGGUUUAAUUCGAAGCAACGCGAAGAACCUUACCAAAUCUUGACAUCCUUUGACAACUCUAGAGAUAGAGCCUUCCCCUUCGGGGGACAAAGUGACAGGUGGUGCAUGGUUGUCGUCAGCUCGUGUCGUGAGAUGUUGGGUUAAGUCCCGCAACGAGCGCAACCCUUAAGCUUAGUUGCCAUCAUUAAGUUGGGCACUCUAAGUUGACUGCCGGUGACAAACCGGAGGAAGGUGGGGAUGACGUCAAAUCAUCAUGCCCCUUAUGAUUUGGGCUACACACGUGCUACAAUGGACAAUACAAAGGGCAGCGAAACCGCGAGGUCAAGCAAAUCCCAUAAAGUUGUUCUCAGUUCGGAUUGUAGUCUGCAACUCGACUACAUGAAGCUGGAAUCGCUAGUAAUCGUAGAUCAGCAUGCUACGGUGAAUACGU
rnacentral:rRNA from 1 species